GAGAUCUGAAGGAAUACCGGUGGCGAAGGCGGCCCCCUGGACAGAUACUGACACUCAGAUGCGAAAGCGUGGGGAGCAAACAGGAUUAGAUACCCUGGUAGUCCACGCCGUAAACGAUGUCUACUUGGAGGUUGUGGCCUUGAGCCGUGGCUUUCGGAGCUAACGCGUUAAGUAGACCGCCUGGGGAGUACGGUCGCAAGAUUAAAACUCAAAUGAAUUGACGGGGGCCCGCACAAGCG
rnacentral:rRNA from 1 species